rnacentral:rRNA from 1 species
GUGUCAGCCGCCGCGGUAAUACGGGGGGUGCGAGCGUUGUCCGGAAUCACUGGGCGUAAAGGGCGCGUAGGUGGCUUGGUAAGCGCGUGGUGAAAGCCCGGGGCUCAACCCCGGGUCUGCCAUGCGAACUACUAUGGCUUGAGCACUGUAGAGGCAGGUAGAAUUCCGGGUGUAGCGGUGGAAUGCGUAGAGAUCCGGAAGAAUACCGGUGGCGAAGGCGGCCUGCUGGGCAGUGGCUGACACUGAGGCGCGACAGCGUGGGGAGCAAACAGGAUUAGAUACCCGAGUAGUCC